rnacentral:rRNA from 1 species
CUGAGCGCGGUGUCCUUUCAUCUGUGUCCAGGAAAAGGAUUAGCAGGCAAACCGAGUUUAGUUCGCCUGGCAGUGCAUUCGGGAAUCAGAAGUCAGCCUGGGGUCAGUGGGCUUCCUCACACGUGGGGGAUCUAACGAAUAUAGCAUAAUUUCAGGGGAGCACGGCAGUAAGAUUACAACUCAAAGGAAUUCAAGAGGUUCAGCACCAGAGGCAGUUCAGGAGGUGAAAUUCGGGAUAUCGCGCAGAACUUAAAGAGCCCUUUACACGUCCAGGACGGGUAGCAAAGAUGAGCAAUUCUAUUCGGAUCCGGAAACACGGGGGUGGCAUCACGAAGUUCAGCGGGGGUUAUUAGAGGGGGGGCGAAGUUAUGCAACGAGAGCAAAGAGCGUCACAAGCCGAGGGCAUUUAUCAGACCCCUGGAAGGAGAGGGUCGGGGUUAACCCCAGAGGAAGGUGGGGACGACGUCAAGUUCUCGUAGGAGUUAGGGGCGGGUCUCCGUACCAAUGAGAAUGAUGGUGCUAUCGGGACAGUAAGGGAUGGUCGCUUGGAAAUGUCAAAAACCUGUCACAGAUCGGAUCAGACUCGGCAACGUUGAGUCCACGAAGAAUGAAUCGCUGGAAGUGCUGAUUCGGCACGACCCCAAGAUUACCUUGCGCGGUUCUGAUACAAAAGGCACGUCACCACACGGGAGUCGGCUUUCUGGAAGAGAGGUACGCUAACCAUCCAUGAAGCAGCAGGUUUGAGUAUGCCGGCUUAAAA